rnacentral:rRNA from 1 species
UAAUUUAGACUUUGCUCGUGGCACAGGGAAAACGCAGGCGGCACCCUUUACACAUGAAUGUCGAGCGGGGUUAGCAAUAUGUUAGCGGCGGGGGGGUGAGUAGGUCGGGGAAAAGCCCUUGGAGGUUGGGAACAAAUGAGGGAAGCUCAUGUUACUCCCGGAUUAGCGUGGAAAGGGAAAGAUUUAUCGCGAAAAGAUGGGCGCGCGUGUGAUUAUGUAGUUGGUGAGGUAAUCAAUCAACAAGGCGAUAAUCGGUAGGAGAGGAGAGAGGACGAUCACCCACAUGGGACAUGAGACGCGGCACAAACUCAUGCGGGGGACCGGAAUGGGGAACAAUGGACAGAAGGAGCAAGCAGCGACGCCGCAUGAGGGAUGAGGGCCUAAGGGUUGUGGCUUCAAAACCCGGGAUGAGAGGAUAAAUGACAG